ACAGAAUUUACAGAAAUCCCCUACCCAGUCCCACAGUCCUGUAAGCGGUUGAAGUCUCCGGGAAUUCACAGGUCGAAUGGAAUCGGUGAUCGUCCUGUCCCAUCCCAUGCACCUGUACUUCUGUACAGUUCUGCGUUGUACUGACUUCCGAGGUAUUCGGGUAAUAUCAAUUAGCAUUUAGCCUGUGCCGACCCCUUCCGGCCGGUGCGACAAAGGGGGCUAUCAUGAGAACUUGAAACGAUCGUAACUAACAAUUUGUAAUUAGUAGCAAUACGGAUGAACUCGCAGUUACUGAGCAACAGAAUGAAGGAACGA
rnacentral:sRNA from 1 species